CCAGCAGCCCCCUUUUUUUCCAGACAGAGGGUUGUGAACCCGCCUGGGGAUGAGGCCUGGUGUUGUGGAAACUGAACUUAGCUUCGCGGGGCUGACAGUUCUGGCCCAGGGCGGUAUGUAAU
rfam:Tursiops truncatus cont1.286764, whole genome shotgun sequence.